CAGGGAGACAACAAAAUGUUAAAUAUUAAUUUUGCCACCUUAGGUCGAUCGGUAUCUCACAUUCUUAAUCUAAUUAAGGAUUUUAUUUCCUAAGUUUUUCUAGGUCACACCCAUCACUUUUCCUGGGCCAUUAGCUCAGGUGGUUAGAGCGCACCCCUGAUAAGGGUGAGGUCCCUGGUUCAAGUCCAGGAUGGCCCAUAUCUCUAUGUUGGGGGUAUAGCUCAGUUGGUAGAGCGCCUGCUUUGCAAGCAGGAUGUCAGCGGUUCGAGUCCGCUUACCUCCACUGAUUACCACCUCUUCCAUAUAUAAAAGGAAAAUUUGAGUUGUGAUCUUAUUCUGAACGAAUCUAGCUUCCUAAUUAAAAUUAUUAAGAUGCUGGACUCAUUGAAUUUAUUUCAUUGUUUUCAGAGAACCUUGACAACUGCAUAGAUUAUUUUUAAAGACAAUAAGCAUCUUUA
rnacentral:tRNA from 1 species